rnacentral:rRNA from 1 species
GUGUUUUUAGCGAGAGUGCCACACCGGUUCCCAUUCCGAACACCGCAGUUAAGACUCUCUGCGUCGAUGAUACU